rnacentral:lncRNA from 1 species
ACUGAGUCCUAAAAUCCAUGGCCAUGAUAGGUGAAUGAUGAAAAAAAAUUUCAUAAGUUUCGCAUAGACUCGAGUCGAUUGAAUCUGACAUAUGACGGAUGAACGGAUUUGAUGAGUUGUUCUUGACCUACAUCUUAUCAGGACACACGAUAGAAGAAUCGAAUUAUAUGAUAAGUGUAUCUAGAAGUUCAUUAUUUUUAUUCUACUGAAUUAUCACUAUAUACUACUAGAUGUAACUGAUGGAUUGUGGG